CCUGCCCAACUGCCCACAUCAGAAUCCUAGAAAUCUCCCUUGUCCCCUCCUCAAUCUAUCAACCCCUAUAUGUGGCCAGUCCCCGACUCUCCAUUGCCACAGUUGCGACUCCAGCCAAAGCAGCCACCCUUUCUUACAGGGAUUGCUGCACAGCCUGUAAAGCAGGUCAAAUGAGAAAGGCAUAUGGGACUCACCACUGGGCUUUGGGGGAGUUGCUUCACUUCCCUGAGCCUCAGUUUCCCCAUGCAUAAAGUAAGGCAGUAACAGACGACAAUCAAAUUCCCCCACUCAUUCUUUGUUUCUGUGGACUCGUAAUCGUCCCCAUAGCAGGCAAACACACAUCAUCUGCCUGUCCUAGAUAGAGUCUUCAGCAUUUAAAAAUAAUAAGUGGGAUUGACAUAGAGCUCCUCCUCUGAGGGACUGAAAAUAUCCUUGAAAGGCAGGUACUGAAGAUAGUUCCUCUUGUUUAAUAGAGAGAGACUAAAACCCAGAGAGCAACCAGCUCAUCAAAAGGCAGUGCUGGAGCUAGCCAGAGAAUCCAAGUCUCCAGCUCCCAGAUGAGACCCAAUUCUGGCCUCUGCACUUUACAACUCUGACCUUCUCUACUCAGCUAGGAGACGGCUAGUCCCCAUGGCCCCCUGCAACAGGAGAAAAUAAUCUCCAAAGGGACGGGAAUCACACCUACCUCCCGUUCCCUAUGGAUUAAAGGGUCUCUCUGGUUCACUUCAAUUAUCCAUAAUCUUCCAUCAUGUCUCAGCAAAUAAAUGAUUAUUUGGCUUAUCACUUCUGAUUGGGAAAGCAACCCCGCCAGGGAGAUCAAAAACGCCAGCCUGUUUCCGUCAAGCAAAGAGGGUGUGCAUAUUAACCAGUGAGUCUUUUUAAAUUUUCUUAAGUAGCUUAAUCCAUUAAACUGGUCCAUCCCGCUUCUACAAUCUGCUCACACAGGCACACUCCCUCCUGAGCACGACGACAGGCCCUCCAUCAUGAGGAAUUAGCUGACUUCUUGAGCAAAUGAUGUUUGUACAUCUAGAAAGUGCCAGAGUUAAGCAGUGUUUACUGCUGGAGUCCCCACUUUAGUAUGCAUGUCUGAAUGAUCGCAGCUUUCAGACCUCCUGAGCAAGCAAUUUACCUUUGCAAGAGACUAUCAGGUUUGGUAAAUCUGUUUUAAAGGGCUGAAACUGUGUAGACGAACCUGUUUGGGGUUUCCAGAUUGCAAAGGGUAGCCUAUGAAAAGGUAGCUUAUGACCUUCCAGAAAACGAAGCAAGUUUAAAAAUUAAAGAUGGAUUAUAGAGCCCUUCUCAUUUGAGUCAGCCCUGGAGCCCAUACACUGAAUUCUAUUACCAUUACUUUCCAAGCUCAGGGAAUUACUUACCCACCCUGUGCCUCAGUUUCCUUAUAUAUAAAACAGAGAUUGACCAGAUGCAAACUUGACAGUCUCCCUGGGUAAUCAAAGGGCUGUUCUGUCCAUCUUGGUAUUGGAGCAAAGUAGUCACAGACCUGGAAACAUUAGAAUUCUCACUGUGUAUCACUCACACAAGAAAACCUCUUAAAGAAAAAAAAAAAUACUAAAAUUCAGUAGAAGCUUCUGAAUUUUUCACACAUUUUAUGACAGCAUGCAAAUAGUGGCCAUAAGAUUAACUAGGGCUCAUUUCUUAAAGGUGUUAUAAUUCACGAUUAAAGAAUUACUAUGAUAUAAAGACUAGAUGUAAUGUAGGUACAUAACACGUCAUUUCAUAAGACAAAGCAUUCUAAUGUAGUUACAUGAUUAAUAAUUAGAGGAAGGGUGAUCUGAAGUGUAAAAGGAUCCACCCUGAACUGAAUACAAUAGAAUCAUACCAGGCGAGAUGAAAGAACAGAAGGGAACUGUUUAUUAGGAAACGAUUUUUCAGUAAAUUGAAAUAACGUGCGCCACAGUGUGGGUCCAGUUCUUCAGGUGACUCCAUUGCUCCCUGCUAACAGGGGCAGCUCAAUAUCAAGACACUGGAAGAAGUCAAAGGCCUGGUGAACGCUGAGACCAUGAUUAACCUUUAAAUACGUUUGAGGCCAGGCACAGUGGCUCACGCCUGUAAUCUCAGCACUUGCAGGGCUCAGGUAGGAGGAUUACUUGAGCCUAGAAGUUCAAGAUCAGCCUGGGGUAUAUAGUGAGACGUCAUUUCUACCAAAAAAAGAAAGAAUUAAAAAUUAGCCAGGCAUAGUGGCAUGUGCCUGUAAGUCACAGCUACUCAGGAGGCUGAGGUGGGAGGAUCACUUGAGCCCGGCAGGCAGAGGUUGCAGUGAGCCAAGAUCACGCCACUGCACUCCAGCCUGGGAGACAGAGCCAGACCCCCUCUAAAAGAAAACAAGGUUUAAACCCUACAGUCUGCAUAUUCUUCAAUCCCUUGCCAUCUGUCCGGUUCCCACCACCAUCACUCUCUCCUGAAUCUGUCUUCACAAAGUCACCAGGGGGCCUCCCAAUCAUUGAAUUCAAACGUUAAUUUUCCAUCUCUUCCUUAGGCACAAUUCUGCUGCUUUGGAUCAGCUAGAUCAUUCCCUCCUUCUGAAACUCCAUUCCCUUGGCCACCCUCACACCAUAUUCUUCUCUUCCUCUGCCUCCCGUUAACACACACCUGGCUCUCUGAUCAUUCCUUCUCAGUCAUCUCGGAAGCUCCUUUCCCUCCUUUAACAGCCUUCAGAGUUUUGCUCCCAACUGCUUAAACAAGCGAUAUCUUCCCUAGUUAAGUCAUUUUGUCCACUAUUAGUUGGACCUUCACGGUGAUAACUUCCAAACCAACACCGCCAAUUCAGUUCUCUUCCCUUCAACGACAUCCUCCAUCCACCCUUGGCUUCACAUUUCCACCCCGUAUUGCCAAAGAUACUUCCAUCCCUGGCACAAGCUCAGCAUGUCCAAAACAGAAUGUUGGGGUUUUCUUCUAAAGCUGCUCCUCCUGCAUCAUGCGCCAUCUCAGCUGGUAGAACCACCAACCAUCCCUCUCCCUCACCCCCACCGCCAUCAACCAACUGAUGCUUUCAUUAAUAUGUCCCAUCCCUGUCACUCACAACCCUAGUCCAAAUGCUUCUCUUACCUCUUUGGCACUAAUGGCUUCCUUACUGGCUUUCCUGGCUCCAGUCUUGGCUUCUAAAAGCAUCCUUCACACAGCUGUAGAACAAAUCUGACCACGUCACAUGCUGUUUCAAAUCCCCAUUCCACAGCGGGUAAAACUCAAGGUCCCUGGGUCAGCAGAGGUGCCCUGGGUAUCCUGGCCAGCCCACCUCUCCAGGGGUUUUCUCCCUAGUCCCCCAAGACAAUGUACAAGCCCCCACUCAGACCUCUCAACAUAACUUAUGCAAACCUCUAUCUCUUCAUUUACCAUAAUGCUCCACAAAUUUCUGUUGGGUGCCUUUCUUCCCCCGACAACUCAUGAACAACUUUUAAACUACAGGAGGGAAUGUGUUCUAAUGUAGCCCAGAGCCCACAACAGAGUGUCUAUCGAAAUGGAGAGAGAAAAAGAAGGAGGGAAAAAUGGACAGUUGCUUCCCUGUGCUAAAAUACUAUAAACAUUUUGUGGAUUAUUCCUUCAAAUUAGGAUUAUUCCUCCAUCUUGUGGACAGUCCCUAUUUGCAUGCAUUUUAAGAUUACAGAACUAAAACAUGUCUCUUCACGCUCAGAUAAUAACUUGCUUAUUUUAAAAGGUAGGAGCGGGCAUAGGAACCAAAAAUUCAUGUUUUUAUUCAUAUUAUUUUUUAUUCAUAUUAUUAUUUUCUUUCCUGAGAAGGCUAUGGACCCUAGGAUUUUCUGUGAGGCAACCUUUACCUCCAGAUUAGCUUGAGUGUAAACCAGUAAUUCUUCAUGGCUCAAAGUAAAAAUUCAAAUGUAGUCCAGUCCUUCAUACUGCAACUUUGGCAGGUAAAAGCUUGCCUCCAGAACUCCGGGGCACAAGGACUUUGCAUGUGAUAACAUGUGCUGUCAGCAUCAUCUGACACAGCUGCCCAUAGACAAACCCAGCAUUCUGUGAUGACCCAUGCCCACAGAGCCAGCUCACAGGGAAUCAAGGUCAGACACAUGUUAAAGGGGAAGAGAGCCAGGCCCAAGUGCAUCCAGCAGGUGACAACGCCUCUCUGAGUCAGCCCUCUGUUUCUGCUCUGCACUGGG
rnacentral:lncRNA from 10 species